rnacentral:rRNA from 1 species
AUAAAAAACCAAUGCCCUUCGGGGCUCCUUGGUGAUUCAUAAUAACUUCACGAAUCGCAUGGCCUUGCGCCGGCGAUGGUUCAUUCAAAUUUCUGCCCUAUCAACUUUCGAUGGUAGGAUAGUGGCCUACCAUGGUGGCAACGGGUAACGGGGAAUUAGGGUUUGAUUCCGGAGAGGGAGCCUGAGAAACGGCUACCACAUCCAAGGAAGGCAGCAGGCGCGCAAAUUACCCAAUCCCGAUACGGGGAGGUAGUGACAAUAAAUACUGAUACAGGGCUCUUUUGGGUCUUGUAAUUGGAAUGAGAACAAUCUAAAUCCCUUAACGAGGAACAAUUGGAGGGCAAGUCUGGUGCCAGCAGCCGCGCUAAUUCCAGCUCCAAUAGCGUAUAUUAAAGUUGUUGCAGUUAAAAAGUUCGUAGUUGAAACUUGGGCCUGGCUGGCAGGUCCGCCUCACCGCGUGUACUUGUCCGGCCGGGCCUUUCCUUCUGGAGAACCUCAUGCCCUUCACUGGGUGUGU